AUUUUCCUCCUUGUGGUCUAUUUUUGUGACCAAAACUUGAAAAUAGUCUAUUUAUGAGAAUUGCCCUUAAUAUAAGUCAUGUCCAAAUAAAUAUAUAUACAUUAACAUAUAAUAUAUAUAUGAUAACACAAACCUUAUCAAGAGCUACUCCAAUACUUUGUUGGAAGAUGUACGAAUCCAGAGGAACAAGAUAUCAAAGCUAUGAUUGUGAUGCUCCCGAAAAUAUGGAAGAAGGAGGACCGAGUGGUUGGUGCGGACCUAGAACUUGGCAAAAUUUCAGUUUGAUUUUGAGAGUGAAGAGGACAUCAAGGCGAUUUUGAAGAUGCAGCCUUUCCACUUUGAUUAUUGGAUGCUGUCUCUGGUUCGAUGGCAGCCAAGGAAGAUAAAAAAACUACCCGUCGGAAAUUACCUUUUGGGUGCGAGUAUUGGAUGUCCCUUUGGAGUUUUGAGAAGCUCCCACGUUCGAGAGUAUCGAAGAUGCUAUUGGGAAAACAGUCGAGGUGGACUUGGAUUACAGUAGGGUAAAGGUAGUGGUGGAUGAUUUUAAGGAACUUUGUUUUGAUACCACCACUGACUUCAAGGGAGUUGAAUUCCAAAAAGGAGAAGAGGCUCCAGUCUCACUGAGAAAAGAGAAGUUAUUCGGUUUUUGCCAAACUUGUUUCAGUCUCUCCCAUGCUUCUGAGAAGUGUCCCUUGAAUAAGAAAAGUCCAGAGAAGAAGAAUGACAAUAGAGUUGAAACCGUUGGGAGGCUUUAGGACCAUGCUAGGAGUUAUAAAGGAGUAGUCAUAAACGGUACUAUGGUUCAGUAAGAUAAGGAAAAAGAAAAGCGGGAGUAUUAUGGGAAGGGCAAGGGGAAUAUGAGUGAGGAACCUGAAGCUAAGUGGUUAAGGUGGCCAAGAAAGAGAGAGAGAACAAACGUUCUUACAUAGUGCAAAGUAACUACCGUGGUGAUGAAGAAGGUUCUCGCCAUAGGAAUGCUCGGUGGGAACAGACAUGAGCUUACUGAUGUGCCCUUGGUAGCACACCGGGCAAAACAGACAUGCAUGGCUUGAUCAUGGGAAGCAGUAAAUAUAUAUGUUCAUUGUUUGAUUCAUAUCUUCGAAACCACGAGGCUUCUACGCAUGAAAUCACUUGUAGAAUGUUCUCAACUCAAUUACGGAUCUCCUCGAACAAGAAUCAGAUCAAACAGAGUUCAUAUGUGACAGUUAUGCCAUUUACAAAUCAGGUGAUCUUCAGUUCUCGCGAAUUCAGACCACCCGAGAAGCUGGAAAUGACUAACCUUCUUUCUGUUGAACCAACGAACAAUUCAAUCAUGCCAAAGGUGAUUAUUCAUUUUCUAAAUGUUCAAGAAAGUCUUGUGCUUGAUGGUUUACAAAAAAAAAAUCAAAAACAGACUUGGUUGGGCCAAAUGGAGAAACCGAUAAAAAUUGGCUAAGGAAAAAAGAUGGAUUUCGACCAGGCCAUAAAGAGACAUGUCUUGGCACAUAUCAGGAGCAUAUUCUUCACUUUUCAAAGUCCUGGUCGUGGCUAUAUCAAGAGGCAGUCCAAGUUUCAGCCAAAGACUUUAUUUAGUCAAGUCUUUGUUUCUAUUUUCAAUGCCUUGUUUUUAGCACAUUCUUUUUUGGAUUUCUACAACUUGUAACCCUAUAAAUAGGGCCUAUGAGCCACGAAAUAAAACAUUUUUUUCCCUUUUAUUUGAGUUUAUCUCUUUGUUCUUUGUAGAACAUGUUUUUUGGUGAGGUUAUCGCCGAGCAAAUCUCUAUUUCGUUGGACAUGUGCGUCAUAUCAGACAACGUUUAGAAAUCCUUCUUUUGGUGGACUUGUGAGUCAUAUCAAGCACCAACUGAAAUCUGGUAGUAUCAUUGGGUCAUCCGCAACCCAUUGUGUCACCGUUCAAUCCAUCAGUUCUCCCUUUUGACGAGUUCAUAUCCCUUAAGUUCGAUUGAGAGAUACUUCCCUAUUUAGGGUGUAUCAAGUGGUAUCAGAGCUACUCAACCGGUACUAUCUAUCCAUCUUCUCAUAUUUCAUUUUCUAAACACUUCUUCUUCUUUCUAUCUUAAAUCCGGGCCACUAUCUUACCUAUCGCCAUUCUUCUAUUAAAAAAAAAAGAAAAGAAAAGAAAAAGAUCUAUCAAAAAAAAAAAAACAAAAGUUUGAUUUGUUGGCUAGGUGGUGGAAGAGAAAUCCUGCUGGCUGAGGAGAAAUCCAGCCUUGGAGUGGUUAAUACGGAUUUCACAAAUCAGUUCUCUUAUCUUUCUAUCUUGUGUUCAUCCCUUGUUGCUUGGAGAUUCCAUUGGGUUACUUGAUUUGUUCUCUUAGAACUUUGAGAGGAAACUCUUGUGUGACCACUAAAAUCCGAGAGAAACACGUGUGUGGGUUAAGAUGUUUGAAGCUGACCAAAGAGGGCUUUUAAGUCAGUUUGAAGUCCGAGAGUUUUGUGACAACCUUGUGGAGGGUGAGGUGAAAGCCCUCAAGGACGUCAGUAAGAUCCAAAAGAAGAGCACAACCACACAUGCACCUGUAGCUAAGCCAUCCUUAUUCAUCAAUGAAAAGCCCAAAGGUAAAUCUAAAAACAACCUUGAAGAUCUAAAAGAUUUUUCAGAUUCUAUACCAAUUUUUGAUGAGUAUGAUGAAGAGUUGAUUGAAAGUUUAUGAUUUGUGAGGAUAAUUGUGAUCUUCCUUUUCCAGAACCUGAUUUUAUGUUUGAUAAAGAACAGACUAUUGCAGAACUAACCUUUUUGCAACCGGAGCAUCCGAGUAGUCUUGUUCUAUUUUCACAGCAUUUUGAGGAAAAGCCAUUCGACUACCCACAUCAAAGACCGCUUCUUGAUACUAGGAGAGCCUUGGACGAUGGCCUAGGUCCCAUCUUUGAUGAGGAAGACGAACUUAGUCCUACCUUUUAUGAGAAAGCACCAAGCAUGACAUCCAUCAACAUGGAGAAUCAUCUUUGCUUGGAUCCAGGCACAAUCCUACGCCUUUGACCACAUACAUUCAAGAGCAUGGUGAGAAACUUGAUUUGAUUAAUUUUCUGUCUGAAAUGUGUUUUAAGAUCAGUUCUCAAGAUGUGAAACGUUUUGGUUUUGACAAGGUUAAAGAAUUUCGUGUUUCAGAUUCUGUUUUUGAAAACAUGUUUAAUUAAAACAAGGUGAGAAACUUGAUUUAAUUAUUUUAAAGUGUUUGAACCUGAACUUCUUUAUCAAAAACGUUUUCAUCAUGACAAUGACAUCAAUUCUGGAUUUGUUUUGAGUUUUGAUCAGCUCUUGAAACAUAGCAAAGGUUUUGGUCAUUUUGAAGAGUCGCUUGAUUUGCAACAGCCUGAUUUUUGUGCUAGAAAUUCGUUUGAUUCAUUUGUCUUCAAAGAAAAUAGUUUUAAUCUGAGUUUUUAUAGAUAUGUACUGAUCACUGGUAACUUGUUUGCAUCCACUUGUGCCUUGGAAGAAUUUAUGGUUAAGACUUUGCUGGAACAGAAAUCACUUAGAGCUAAAACCGAUUUUUGUUGUGAUUCUGUUUUGAAAUCUGAUAUUGAACUUUUGUAUUCUAAUUCUGAUCAUGUUAGGCACGUUUUGAAAAUGUCCCAUAUGAUAUUUCAUGCCUUGAAAGCAUUAUGAUUUACAACACAUUCUUUGAUAAAAGUGCUGAUCCAUGUAUAAGUAAUUCUCGGUUUGAAAUUGAUCUUUUGUGUUCUAAAUCUGAGAAACUUGCGCAUGUUUUGAAUUUGUUCUUUAGUAACUGUGCUAUCACGUGCCCUGACACCAUUCUGGUGUACAACACUUUCUUUGAUAGGCUUCAUGAUGAUCUGAAACGGGUGCUACAUGUUCUAGGGAAAGAAACUUUGGUUUCUGAUCUGAACAAGUACUUGUCUUGCACAUAUGAUCCUGGUUUUUAAUAUUUGUUUUGAGUGUCCAGGAUAAACAGGAUCAGUCUCCAAGAGGUGUCAGGAACAAAAUCAGAGAUCGUGCUUGUAAGUUUGAGAUUUGGAGAUGGAAGUACCUGAGGAAAACAACUUCAAAACUCAAAGGAAGUUUCUUUCCAAAACUUUUCUUCACUAUAUUUUACAUGUUCUUUAGAUUCUUUUUUUCCUGAUUCAUUUCCUUUUUAUACAGGUAAAAUUAAUUUGAGGCCAAAUCCUUUUCAAAAGGGAGGGAAUGAUGCGCCCUUUGGUAGCGCACCGGGCAAAACAGACAUGCAUAGCUUGAUCAUGGGAAGCAGUAAAGAUAUAUGUUCAUUGUUUGACUCAUAUAUUCUAAACCACGAGGAUUCUACGCAUAAAAUCACUUGGAGAAUGUUCUCAACUCAAUUACGGAGCUCCUCGAACAAGAAUCAUAUCAAACGGAGUUCAUAUGUGACAGUUAUGCCAUUUACAAAUCAGGUGAUCUUCAGUUCUCGCGAAUUAAGACCACCCGAGAAGCUGGAAAUGGCUAAGCUUCUUUCUGAUGAACUAACGACCAAUUAAAUCAUGCCAAAGGUGAUUAUUCAUUUUCUAAAUGUCCAAGAAAGUCUUGGGCUUGAUGGAUUACAAAAAAGAAUCAAAAACAGAUUUGUUUGGGCCAAAUGGAGAAACCGAUAAAAAUUGGCUAAGGAAAAAAGAUGUAUUUCGACCAGGCCUUAAAGAGACAUGUCUUGGCCCAUAUCAGGAGCAUAUUCUUCACUUUUCAAAGUCCUGAUCGUAGCUAUAUCAAGAGGCAAUACAAGUUUCAGUCAAAGGUUUUAUUUAGUAAAGUCUUUGUUUCUAUUUUCAAUGCCUUGUUUUUAGCACAUUUUUGUUUGGAUUUCUACAACUUGUAAUCCUAUAAAUAGGGCCUAUGAGCCACGAAAUAAAGCAUUCCGUUUUCCCUUUUAUUUGAGUUUGUCUCUUUGUUCUUUGUAGAACAUUUUUCGUUUCUUGGUGAGGUUAUCUCCGAGUAAACAAAUUUCUAUUUCGUUGGACUUGUGCGUCAUAUCAGACAACAUUUAGAAAUCAUUCUUUUUGUGGACUUGUGAGUCAUAUCAAGCACCAACUGAAGUCUGGUAGUAUCAUUGGGCCAUCUGUAACCCAUUGUGUCACCGUUCAAUCCAUCAGUUCUCACUUUUGGCGAGUUCAUAUCCGUUUAGUUCGAUUGAGUGAUCCUUUCCUAAUUUAGGGUGUAUCACUUGCCCUCAAAAGAUCGGGUUAGGUACUCUCGUGGUCUAAGAAGGGAAAGAAGUCCACGGCAUGAAGCUAGAGAGGAAGAAAUGAAGCUGCCUCCGACACUCCCGCCGCCAGCGUUUCAAGCAGCACUGAUUGAAACUCAGGCUGAGCCAACAGAGGUAAACUCGGAAACUCUAGGCGAGAAAAGUGAAGUGGUAAAAGAUACAAUAGAGGAACAAAAUAUUAUGUUAAGUGAUGAUGGGAUGGAUUUGGAUGUGGUUCCUAAUAAUAAGCUUUCGGUUGAGAAUGAUGAGGAAUUUGGGGAGGACUUUCAGAAUCUGUCGGCUGAUGAGGAAGAAGUUAGUCUACAGAAAGAUGGGGUUGCUAGCUUGGAUGAGGGAUAACAGAGGGAUGAAGCAGGGGAGAAGAAUCGAUCAAGAAGAGGCUGUACAAACCACCGAUCAACACUGCAGGCUCCACUAAGAUGCGUAUGUACCAGGCACUCGCUUCUCCCGUAAGCGCACUCUAGCAAAAACAGGCAAUUGUCAAGGAGAUGGUUCAAAGCAGAUGGAGGAUAAGGUCACAUCAAACCCUAAACCUGGUCUCCCAAAACCUUAAUCUAUCAUAUGGAUCAAGUUUUCUCAGCUGAUCGGAUUUAUGCAAGCAAUUUCUGGUUUAUGGAUUCCGGGUUUUAGUUGCUUUAAUAAGCUCAUGAGCAUUUAUUUCUGUUUUAUCUUUGAGGUUUCUUGUUUUUUGCUUACUUAUUAAUGCUUUGUUUGAUGGUACGAUCUUUCCAUAAGAUCAUGCAAUGGAAUAAAAUUUAUUAUUGGACUUAUUGGUUCUUUGAAUGCAGGCAGGAUUGAUAAAGGAACUUGGUUUUGUUUCUCACGCUUCGAAAUUGGUAUUUUCUGGUUUUGGUGAUAACAUUGGAAACGUUACUGUAUUGGGUCUCACUAAACCGAAUACAGUCAAGUUAUUACUGCAGCAUGGAUAUUAUGGACAGGUUAAUUGGCUUCAAUCAUCAACAAACACAAGGUUGGGAUGAUAAGCGAUACCCUGGUAAUGAAUGGAGCAUUGCGGUCUCAACUGCUUUUUUUAGAAAGAACUUAUGGAUCUCAUUAGUUGCACUUGAUUGCUCUAUUCGUAAUAUCAGUACAGACAGACACUAUGUCGAUUAUAGUUUGGAAAUUUUUUGGUUAAUCUUAAUAAACCACAUUACUGUCGCUUUAAUUAUUUUGUAUCUCGCUUCAUGGGAACCAAAAGAUAUAGUAGAAUAAUAAUUAAAUGCAAGAAGGAAUAUGAUUCCUACUUGAGUUAUUCUUGGGUUAACCCUACCAGAGGUUUUACCGAUCAAUAGAAUUGUUUUAUUUCAUAUUUGAUAUCUUUUAAAAAAACAAAAUAUUGUCAAAUUAUAUUAUGUUUUUAAAAUUAAAAAAUAAAAAGAAAUAAAUAAAAAAUAGUAGUAAUUACAAAAAAAAAAAAUUUAA